rnacentral:rRNA from 1 species
AGAGUUUGAUCCUGGCUCAGGACGAACGCUGGCGGCGUGCUUAACACAUGCAAGUCGAACGGAAAGGCCCUUCGGGGUACUCGAGUGGCGAACGGGUGAGUAACACGUGGGUGAUCUGCCCUGCACUUUGGGAUAAGCCUGGGAAACUGGGUCUAAUACCGAAUAGGACCACGCGCUUCAUGGUGUGUGGUGGAAAGCUUUUGCGGUGUGGGAUGGGCCCGCGGCCUAUCAGCUUGUUGGUGGGGUAAUGGCCUACCAAGGCGACGGCGGGUAGCCGGCCUGAGAGGGUGACCGGCCACACUGGGACUGAGAUACGGCCCAGACUCCUACGGGAGGCAGCAGUGGGGAAUAUUGCACAAUGGGCGCAAGCCUGAUGCAGCGACGCCGCGUGAGGGAUGACGGCCUUCGGGUUGUAAACCUCUUUCAAUAGGGACGAAGCGUGAGUGACGGUACCUAUAGAAGAAGCACCGGCCAACUACGUGCCAGCAGCCGCGGUAAUACGUAGGGUGCGAGCGUUGUCCGGAAUUACUGGGCGUAAAGAGCUCGUAGGUGGUUUGUCGCGUUGUUCGUGAAAACUCACAGCUUAACUGUGGGCGUGCGGGCGAUACGGGCAGACUAGAGUACUGCAGGGGAGACUGGAAUUCCUGGUGUAGCGGUGGAAUGCGCAGAUAUCAGGAGGAACACCGGUGGCGAAGGCGGGUCUCUGGGCAGUAACUGACGCUGAGGAGCGAAAGCGUGGGGAGCGAACAAAAUUAGAUACCCUGGUAGUCCACGCCGUAAACGGUGGGUACUAGGUGUGGGUUCCUUCCUUGGGAUCCGUGCCGUAGCUAACGCAUUAAGUACCCCGCCUGGGGAGUACGGCCGCAAGGCUAAAACUCAAAGGAAUAGACGGGGGCCCGCACAAGCGGCGGAGCAUGUGGAUUAAUUCGAUGCAACGCGAAGAACCUUACCUGGGUUUGACAUGCACAGGACGCCGGCAGAGAUGUCGGUUCCCUUGUGGCCUGUGUGCAGGUGGUGCAUGGCUGUCGUCAGCUCGUGUCGUGAGAUGUUGGGUUAAGUCCCGCAACGAGCGCAACCCCCGUCCUAUGUUGCCAGCGAGUUAUGCCGGGGACUCGUAGGAGACUGCCGGGGUCAACUCGGAGGAAGGUGGGGAGGACGUCAAGUCAUCAUGCCCCCUAUGUCCAGGGCUUCACACAUGCUACAAUGGCCGGUACAAAGGGCUGCGAUGCCGUGAGGUGGAGCGAAUCCUUUCAAAGCCGGUCUCAGUUCGGAUCGGGGUGUGCAACUCGACCCCGCGAAGUCGGAGUCGCUAGUAAUCGCAGAUCAGCAACGCUGCGGUGAAUACGUUCCCGGGCCUUGCACUCACCGCCCGUCA